rnacentral:rRNA from 1 species
UUUUCGCAAUGCCCGAAAGGGUGACGAAGCGACGCCGCGUGGGUGAGGAAGGCCUUCGGGUUGUAAAACCCUGUCAGGAGUUAUGAAAUGUAAGUGCGCUAAUAUCGUGCUUAUUUGACAAAGGCUCCAAAGGAAGCCACGGCUAACUCUGUGCCAGCAGCCGCGGUAAUACAGAGGUGGCGAGCGUUGUUCGGAAUUAUUGGGCGUAAAGAGCACGUAGGUGGGUUUGCAAGUCAGAUGUGAAAGCCUUCUGUUCAACGGAAGAAUUGCAUCUGAAACUGCUAAUCUUGAGUAUAGGAGGGGAGAAUGGAACUUCUGGUGGAGCGGUGAAAUGCGUAGAUAUCAGAAGGAACGCCGGCGGCGAAAGCGAUUCUCUGGCCUAUUACUGACACUCAGUGUGCGAAAGCUAGGGGAGCAAACGGGAUUAGAUACCCCGGUAGUCCUAGCUGUAAACGAUGGGCACUAAGUAGAGGGGUU